UUUAGUAGAGGCCCUCAUGAUGUAUCCUCUUUAGAUUUUGUUUUUGAAGAUGACGCCAUCAAUUCGUUUUCUCUCUCAAUUCUCCUCACUGUCUUUCAUGGUGUGAGUGCAUCCCCCUUUUUUUUUUCACUGUUUUGCCUCUGUUUCCCUCUUCUCCUCCCGUUUUCUCUUUUCUCUGUCUGUUUUCUCCUACUCUUUCUCCGUGUAUCUCCUGUCUGUGUAUAUGUGUGUAUUUCUAUAGCUGGAUCUAUGUAUUCUCUAUAUUUGUGCAUUGAAUAUGUGAGUAUAUAGCUAUAGAAUCUUGUAAUUGUAGAUUAAAAAUAAGAUGACU
rnacentral:lncRNA from 1 species